AGCGAACGCUGGCGGCAGGCCUAACACAUGCAAGUCGAACGGAUCCUUCGGGAUUAGUGGCGGACGGGUGAGUAACACGUGGGAACGUGCCCUUUGGUUCGGAACAACUCAGGGAAACUUGAGCUAAUACCGGAUAAGCCCUUCGGGGAAAGAUUUAUCGCCAUUGGAGCGGCCCGCGUAGGAUUAGCUAGUUGGUGGGG
rnacentral:rRNA from 1 species